GUCCUUUUGGUGCAGUGGUUAGUGCGUUUGGCUGAAGAACCAGAAGUUGCGGGUUCGAUUCCCCUCGCCAGCUGCUA